GACAGAGGCCCCAAGCGUUAGGCGGAAUCACUGGGCUUAAAGCGUGUGUAGGCGGACGCCUAAGUGUCUUGUGAAAUCCCACGGCUCACCCGUGGAACUGCUGGGCAUACUGGGCGUCUUGGGCCAACUAGGGGCAGCCGGAAUAAGCGGUGGAGCGGUGAAAUGCGUAGAUAUCGCUUGGAACGCCGAAGGUGAAAACAGGCUGCUGGGGUUGCGCCGACGCUGAGACACGAAAGCCAGGGGAGCAAACGGG
rnacentral:rRNA from 1 species